rnacentral:rRNA from 1 species
CCCUUAGAUGUUCUGGGCCGCACGCGCGCUACACUGAUGCAUUCAACGAGCCUAUCCUUGACCGACAGGUCCGGGUAAUCUUUGAAUCUGCAUCGUGACGGGGAUAGAUUAUUGCAAUUAUUAAUCUUCAACGAGGAAUGCCUAGUAGGCGCAAGUCAUCAGCUUGCGUCGAUUACGUCCCUGCCCUUUGUACACACCGCCCGUCGCUCCUACCGAUUGGGUGUGCUGGUGAAAUGUUCGGAUCGGCCGUUUGUCGCGGUUUCCGCGUCAUGUGGCUGAGAAGAUCAUUAAACCCUCCCACCUAGAGGAAGGAGAAGUCGUAACA